rnacentral:rRNA from 1 species
AGAGUUUGAUCAUGGCUCAGGAUGAACGCUAGCUACAGGCUUAACACAUGCAAGUCGAGGGGAAACGACAUCGAAAGCUUGCUUUUGAUGGGCGUCGACCGGCGCACGGGUGAGUAACGCGUAUCCAACCUGCCCAUCACUUGGGGAUAACCUUGCGAAAGUAAGACUAAUACCCAAUGAUAUCUCUAGAAGGCAUCUGAAAGAGAUUAAAGAUUUAUCGGUGAUGGAUGGGGAUGCGUCUGAUUAGCUUGUUGGCGGGGUAACGGCCCACAAAGCAACGAUCAGUAGGGGUUCUGAGAGGAAGGUCCCCCANAUUGGAACUGAGACACGGUCCAAACUCCUACGGAGGCA